GGCGGCAGGCUUAACACAUGCAAGUCGAGCGGUAGCAGAUCUAGCUUGCUAGAUGCUGACGAGCGGCGGACGGGUGAGUAACGCGUAGGAACCUGCCCAGUAGUGGGGGAUAGCCCGGGGAAACUCGGAUUAAUACCGCAUACGCUCUACGGAGGAAAGAGGGGCCUCGGGCUCUCGCUAUUGGAUGGGCCUGCGUGAGAUUAGCUAGUUGGUGAGGUAAUGGCUCACCAAGGCGACGAUCUCUAGCUGGUCUGAGAGGAUGAUCAGCCACACUGGGACUGAGACACGGCCCAGACUCCUACGGGAGGCAGCAGUGGGGAAUAUUGCACAAUGGGCGCAAGCCUGAUGCAGCCAUGCCGCGUGUGUGAAGAAGGCUUUCGGGUUGUAAAGCACUUUCAGUGGGGAGGAAGGCCUCGUAGUUAAUAGCUGCGAGGAUUGACGUUACCCACAGAAGAAGCACCGGCUAACUCCGUG
rnacentral:rRNA from 1 species